GGCCUAGUGGCCUAAUGGUUAAGGCGCCAGGUACGCUGUUAUUAUCACUAACUAAUUAUUAUAAAACUAAGUGGUUCACUAGAUUUCGGCGGAGCAUUUGCACGCUUUAGAUUCUCUGGAGAUUGGGAGUUCGAAUCUUCCCUGGGUCG